UACGGAGGGUGCAAGCGUUAUCCGGAUUCACUGGGUUUAAAGGGUGCGUAGGCGGAUUGAUAAGUCAGUGGUGAAAGCCCCAGGCUCAACUUGGGAAUUGCCAUUGAUACUGUUAAUCUUGAGUGCGGUUGAAGUGGGCGGAAUAUGACAUGUAGCGGUGAAAUGCUUAGAUAUGUCAUAGAACACCGAUUGCGAAGGCAGCUCACUAAGCCGCAACUGACGCUGAGGCUCGAAAGCGUGGGGAGCAAACAGG
rnacentral:rRNA from 1 species